GCUGUGAAUCCCGAGGCUCAACCUCGGGCUGCAGUGGGUACGGGCAGACUAGAGUGCGGUAGGGGAGAUUGGAAUUCCAGGUGUAGCGGUGGAAUGCGCAGAUAUCAGGAGGAACACCGAUGGCGAAGGCAGAUCUCUGGGCCGAACUGACGCUGAGGAGCGAAAGGGUGGGGAGCAAACAGGCUUAGAUACCCUGGUAGUCCACCCCGUAAACGUUGGGAACUAGUUGUGGGGCCGUGACGCAGCUAACGCAUUAAGUUCCCCGCCUGGGGAGUACGGCCGCAAGGCUAAAACUCAAAGGAAUUGACGGGGACCCGCACAAGCGGCGGAGCAUGCGGAUUAAUUCGAUGCAACGCGAAGAACCUUACCAAGGCUUGACAUACAGGUGGUGCAUGGUUGUCGUCAGCUCGUGUCGUGAGAUGUUGGGUUAAGUCCCGCAACGAGCGCAACCCUCGUUCUAUGUUGCAACUCAUGGGAUACUGCCGGGGUCAACUCGGAGGAAGGUGGGGAUGACGUCAAAUCAUCAUGCCCUUAUGUCUUGGGCUUCACGCAUGCUACAAUGGCCGGUACAAAGGGCUGCAAUACCGUGAGGUGGAGCGAAUCCCAAAAAGCCGGUCCCAGUUCGGAUUGAGGUCUGCGACUCGACCUCAUGAAGUCGGAGUCGCUAGUAAUCGCAGAUCAGCACGCUGCGGUGAAUACG
rnacentral:rRNA from 1 species